GGUGCUGCUGGCCGAGCCGGGCAGGCAGCGCGCGUUCGCCUUGCGCGCGGCCUGGCUCGAGCCCGGCAUGGCGCCU
rnacentral:tRNA from 1 species